CUGCUGCCUCCCGUAGGAGUCUGGUCCGUGUCUCAGUACCAGUGUGGGGGACCUUCCUCUCAGAACCCCUACGCAUCGUCGUCUUGGUGGUCCGUUACACCGCCAACUAACUAAUGCGACGCAUGCCCAUCCGCCACCGGAAUUAACCUUUGGCACCAACAGGAUGUCCCGUCGAUGCAUUAUGCCGUAUUAGACGGAAUUUCUCCCGAUUAUCCGGCUGUGGCAGGCAGGUUGCAUACGUGUUACUCA
rnacentral:rRNA from 1 species